rnacentral:rRNA from 1 species
UACGUAGGGGGCGAGCGUUGUCCGGAGUUAUUGGGCGUAAAGCGCGCGCAGGCGGUCGAUCAAGUCUGGAGUGACAGUUCCCGGCUCACCCGGGAAAGGUCUUCGGAAACUGACCGACUUGAGGGACUCAGAGGGAGACGGAAUUCCAGGUGGAGCGGUGAAAUGCGUAGAGAUCUGGAGGAACACCAAAGGCGAAGGCAGUCUCCUGGGAGUUACCUGACGCUCAGGCGCGAAAGCCAGGGGAGCGAACGGG